CUGCUGCCUUCCGUAGGAGUCUGGUCCGUGUCUCAGUACCAGUGUGGGGGACCUUCCUCUCAGAACCCCUACGCAUCGUCGCCUUGGUGGGCCGUUACCCCGCCAACUAGCUAAUGCGACGCAUGACCAUCCGUAGCCGGAAUCGCUUCCUUUAAACCCGAGGAGAUGCCUCCUCGGGUUGUUACGCGGUAUUAGACGGAAUUUCUUCCGCUUAUCCCCCUGCUACGGGCAGGUUUCAUACGUGUUACUCACCCGUGCGCCGGUCGCCGGCGGGAGUUA
rnacentral:rRNA from 1 species